GUACAAAUAAAAAAAAUUAUUAUCAAACAUCUAUAUUAUAAAAUAAUAUAUUUUAUUCUCUUUUUUAACGCUGAUUUAUUUUGAUAUUACAAUUAUGAUAUGAGAAAUAUUACAUAAACGAUUCUACUCUAUAUGUACAUUACAAAACAUAAAAAAUAUAUAUGGAAUUUUUUAAUUAAACCAGCGGUUUAUGAUUUUAUGUUAAACACAAAUUAAAUCAAACACCCGCACGGGGGUGCGGGUCAAGUUCUAGUACAAAUUAAUAAUGGAGACAAACACAUAAAUUACGUGGUACAAAUUAGAUAGUCACGUACAUGCAAAAUGGUAAAAAUAUGUGUGUGUCAUGUCAUUUUCUAAGGAUCUAGGCUUGGAUACACGCUUGGCUUCAAGUCACAUUCCACUGCAACUUUAUUUGCACACCAAGACAAACCCAUUAAACUCAUCACUCUCUCGUCGUCAUUGGUUUUAUUUCCUAUAAAAUUGAGCAAUAGCAGAUUUAUAGGAUUAAAGAGUCAAUAGAGAACCGGCCCUCGUGGUCUGGUAGUAAAGGAACCUCGGCUGAGAUGCCUGUCAUCACGAGUUCGAACCCCGGCCACAGCGGAUUUAUAUAGUUUCCGUUUGGCCUUCAGGACCUUUCUCGCCAAUUCCGGUUAGACGCGGUAGAAUAAUCGGAAUAAGAGAGAUCUUGAUACCAGGAUUAUAUAAAAAAAAAUCAAUAGAGACUUAUAUAGAGAAUACUAAGACAGUGAUUACACGUAUCCUUUAUCAUAACACACCUUGACGUUCACCCGAAAGGUGUACGGACCCACUCAUGAUUUUUUUUUCUUUUUCAUUUAUAAAACUUUCUUAUAUAAUUUUUUUUGAAUUAUUUUUGAAAAACAUAAGUUGCAGGAAAUACAAAAACAUCAUAUUAUAUAAAGUUUGGUUCCAGUGACAAAAAAAAAUAAAAAAUAAAAAAUAAAGUCUAGUUCUUCGAAAUUGCUAAUUAACUUGAUCGUGAAACGUAGAAAUUAAAUUUAUGAUAAUGACAUGUGUUAAAAUAUAUUCUAAUUAAUAAGAUAAAUAUAAUAAGAUACUAAUGACUCAGUAGUAAUUUUUGUUUAUAAGAACCUAAACAAAAAUAAUUGUAAAAGAUGAUUUGAUAGUAAUUUUUUUUUAAUUGUUUCUUUUCUAAAAAAAGACAAAAGCUCAAAAAUCUUUAAUAAGUUUGAGGAAAAAACCUAAAAAUUAUUCUGGCCCACAAAAAAGCUGACGAAACAAAAAAAAUUCUAAUUUAUUUUAAUCGAGAAUAGAAGCCGAGAAAAUACACACCAGCGCAACCACAUCUUUAGAAAACUGAGAAGAGUAACUGAGAUAAAGGGUCAUGAGUGGUGAGGCUCGUCAAAGAAGGAAAAGAAGAGAAUAACGAGUUGGUGAUGCCAAGCCAGCCGUCUCUGAUUGUUUCCGUAAUCAGUCGCUGCCGGAGAGAUCUUUUUCAAGACUCGCCGUCGGUCAAUAAACGAUGAGCUUACGCAGUGAUGGAUGUAGGAUUUUAUUUUGUUGGGGCCAAAUCAAAUAUAAACACAGAAAAAGGUACCACCAACUUGGCUCACCUACAUCUGCCACUGAGCUUACGCAUUGGCGCCCCCAACAAUUCAAGCACCCCCAACAAUUCAAGCACCCCCAAAACCAACUUACCACAAAAAGUUGUCGUCUCUUCCCUCCACCUCUGCUUAAACUCUCGGGAUCUGAAGAGGUUACUGAAAAUAAAAAAUACCGCACGGGCAGAAGGAGUACGACGGCGGAAGAUCUAAGCAUGCAUGACUGCUGUUCGUCACCGGAACGAAGCCGGAGCCGCCGAGGAGGAUACAAGACGUCACAUCAGAAUAACAUAGGAGGCAUAUAUACUAACCGGACCCGCUCAUGAUACUACUUCGCUAAUUUAAUACCUACAUGGUGUAACCUGCUUUGGAAUAAUUUUAGUUUAAUUAAAAUGAUCCGUGAGAAAUUUUCUGUUAGAGUUAAUCAUAAGUAUUCUAAGGCGAAAUCUAGAUUAAACCUACGAAACUUAUAAAAUUUCAUAUUUUGUCACUAAAAAAAAGCGUCUACGAAUUAGUGACAUUCCGCCAUAUUCUAUAUACAUCUAUCGUUUUUUUACUCCAUUAUACCACCAAUCAUACAGUAACUAAGCUCGAGUACAUUUUAAAACUGUUUGAUGUAUCAAACUAUUAAUCAUUUAGGUUUUUUUUUGACAUAUCUCUGUUAGGUAUAUAGCUAGUAUAACAUUAGUUUUCUUAACAGUAGAUUCCUUUCUGUAAAUAUAUUGAUUCCGAUAUUUCUCAAACGUCAUGGAUGGCAGAUGGAAACCAGUGCCGGCUCUAACACAUGGCAACAUAGGCAAUUGCCAUGGGUCCAUAGGUCUAAAAAAAAUUUUAGUGUUAUUUUAUUAAUUAAAAAAGUUUUUUUUGUUUGUUAAAUAUUAAUUAAUUGGUAAAAUUAUAACAAAGAGGUCUAUGAUUAACUAAACCUAAUUUAAAUACAAUAAGAAAAAGAAAAUUAUUUUGUAAUAUUCACAAUUUUUCAUUAACAAAACCUAAUUUACACACAAAAAUCCAUUUUUUAAUUUUUCUUCUUUGAAUAUCACAUUUUUUUGCUUUAAUUUAAGAAAAUGCAAUAAAUAAAGGUUGAGAGAAAUCUUAUAGAAAGGUCUUUAUUUAUUUUAUUUUUUUGGACAGUAAAAAAGGUCUUUAUUUUAUAUUUCGAGUUAUCAAUUUUUUUUAAGACGAAGCUGAUGGCAACUGCAGACGCAUGCCAGUGUGCACUGCACUUUAUUUACAUUUAUGUGUAUACAUUUACAUCUUCGUAACACAAGGCGGACAAAAAUUCAAACUAGCAGUUAGAACAGAGGCAUGAAUGUUGUAAAACCAAAUUAACCAAUGCUCCAGUUACAAAAUAAAAUAAAAUAGAGAGAAUUGGUGAAAUAACCAAAAAAAAAUAAAAUAAAGAAACUAACCAUUGCCUAGAGAGAGAAAGGAAGAAAAAUUCACUUAUAUUUGUAAAAACAUACACGUGAACUUCUUGUAAGUUCUUUUAAGGAAUAAACUGAAUAAAAAGGUUUUAAAGAAGAUUUUAGGUAUCUCUUUUCUUGUAGUGCUUUUGGU